rnacentral:rRNA from 1 species
GUGCAUGUGGUGGAUGCCUUGGCGAUUACAGGCGAUGAAGGACGUUGUAGCCUGCGAAAAGCUGCGGGGAGCUGGCAAACAAGCUUUGAUCCGCAGAUGUCCGAAUGGGGAAACCCACUCCGCAAGGAGUAUCCCUGGCUGAAUACAUAGGUCAGUGGAGGCGAACCCGGCGAACUGAAACAUCUAAGUAGCCGGAGGAACAGAAAUCAACCGAGAUUCCCUAAGUAGUGGCGAGCGAACAGGGACCAGCCUGCAAGAGAUAACUAGUGUGUUAGUGGAACGCUCUGGAAAGUGCGGCCAUAGUGGGUGAUAGCCCCGUACGCGAAAACACAUUAGCGAGACUGAGCUUGCGACAAGUAGGGCGGGACACGUGAAAUCCUGUCUGAAGAUGGGGGGACCAUCCUCCAAGGCUAAAUACUCGUAAUCGACCGAUAGUGAACCAGUACCGUGAGG